rnacentral:sRNA from 1 species
GCUGGACAUGGUGGUGUAUGUCUGUAAUCCUAGAUACUAGGGAGGCUGAGGCUGGAGGAUUGGAAAUUUGAAGUCAGGCUGGGCAAUUUAGUGAAGACCCUGUCUCAA